rnacentral:rRNA from 1 species
GACGAACGCUGGCGGCGUGCCUAACACAUGCAAGUCGAGCGGGGUUGAAGCGAGGGGUAACUCGAGUUUCUACCUAGCGGCGGACGGGUGAGUAACGCGUGGGCAACCUGCCUCAAGGACUGGGAUAACAGCUCGAAAGGGCUGCUAAUACCGGAUAAGCCUAUGGCCUCGCAUGGGGCCAUGAGCAAAGGGGAAACCCGCCUUGAGAUGGGCCCGCGUCCCAUCAGCUAGUUGGUGAGGUGAAGGCUCACCAAGGCGACGACGGGUAGCCGGCCUGAGAGGGUGACCGGCCACACUGGGACUGAGACACGGCCCAGACUCCUACGGGGGGCAGCAGUGGGGAAUCUUGCACAAUGGGCGAAAGCCUGAUGCAGCGACGCCGCGUGAGCGAAGAAGGCCUCGGUUGUAAGCUCUGUCUGGAGGGACGAAGGAAGUGACGGUACCUCCGGAGGAAGCCACGGCUAACUACGUGCCAGCAGCCGCGGUAAAGUCACGUCG